AUCACUUCUCAGCCUUUUGGCUAAGAUCAAGUGUAAAAAGUCAACAGCACUUUUACUUCGUAUAUAAAAUUAGCAAAAGCAUGUUUUUCCUGGAAAGCUUUUCCAGUAUUCUGACUUCUAAAAAGUAUAUAUUUUU
ensembl:snRNA U2 U2 spliceosomal RNA